rnacentral:tRNA from 1 species
GAAAAAGAAUACAAGAACUGCUAAUUCAUGUAACCAUAUUUAAAAUUAUGGCUUUUUCA